CAGCUCAAGACCACACGAAAUCCAACUUCCCUCCCUAGCGUCACUUUUAUCCUCCUCUACACAAAUCAGGGCUCAUACACUUUGCCCAAAGUGACACAGUAACCAAGAGUUGGGGCUAUGAUUGGCACCCACGGGUCUGACUUCGAAAUCUGGACCUCCUUUUCCAUGAUGUGUGGACCGAGGAGAAGAUCAGCUUGCCUAUCAGCCCAAAGACCUUCCAGGAACACAGAGCAUGUCUCUGCUUCAUGGAGCCCAGCACUCCAGGUUCCAGCUUGCUGCACCACUGACCAAGCUGGGAAGAAUCUGGGAUCCAGGAAGACCUGAGCUGACACCAGUAGGUGUUCUCACUCCAUUCUCAACUCUGAAGGAAUUGCAGCCCAAGAUAUCCACUGCUAGUCGGGAAUUCUGUACUUGCAGCCUAAAGCAUCUGAGCAGACACAGGCC